UACGAAGGGUGCAAGCGUUACUCGGAAUUACUGGGCGUAAAGCGUGCGUAGGUGGUUUGUUAAGUCUGAUGUGAAAGCCCUGGGCUCAACCUGGGAAUGGCAUUGGAUACUGGCAGUCUAGAGUGCGGUAGAGGGUAGCGGAAUUCCCGGUGUAGCAGUGAAAUGCGUAGAUAUCAAGAGGAACACCUGCGGCGAAGGCGGGUUGCUGGGCCGACACUGACGCUGAGGCGCGAAAGCGUGGGGAGCAAACAGG
rnacentral:rRNA from 1 species